rnacentral:lncRNA from 1 species
CACAAGGGCACGCAUGAAAUGUCUGGCCCACGGUAAACAAGUACGGACGCUGCAAAUAAUCUACUCUGCUCGUCCAGUCCCUAGCCUAUAAAUAGAUGCCAUGCUAGCUCUUGUUGUGCUCACAAUUAAUCCUGACUACACACGAGCUUCUCUCCCUGGCCAAGACACAAUCAUAGUAUGAUGAAGAACAUGGCACUAGCCGGCAAUGGUAUGAAGAACUUAAUCCUCGCUGUUCUCUUACUGUGUCUAGUUAUAGGGCAGAUACAAGUGGAAGCUAAGAGCUGCUGCCCAUCCAUUACUGCAAGAAAUAUCUACAAUGCCUGCCGUAUCACGGGUACAUCCCGUCCAACGUGUGCAAAACUGUCAGGCUGCAAAAUUAUCAGCGGGGACAAAUGCAAGCCCCCUAACGACCACCUCACCCUUGACCCGGACACUGGUAAAUAAUAAAUUUAUCUCACUUGAUUUCUUCGUGUUUUGAGUCGUUAAUGUAUUUUCCAUCUGAUGAAACGUAUUGGUUUUGCAUUGAAGAGGAAGUUAAUGUGCUUAACUUCUGCAAGUUGGGGUGUGCGUCGUCUGUGUGCAACAACAUCAACGCUGGUAAGCACCUUUUGCUCAGACGGAGAAAACAAUAAUCAUUAAUUAGCGGCAGCUAGAAUCCUAUAAUCUAAUAUAUUUAUAUAUAUAUAUAAUUUUAUCAGCUCUGGGAAAUGAAGAGGCGAACGAUGCCGUUGAGAGUUGCGACCAAGCCUGCUCUAGCUUCUGCAACGUGCACGUUGGCGCUGCCACCGUGGUUGCUUAAGCAAAUGCAUCCAACUGGAUCGUCCUUGUGCUAAAUAAUUGGAUAUCGUAUCCACUUAAAGCUGCCUUGUGUAGUACGUUUUUGUUUGUGUCUCUCUUUAUAUUCCAAUAAGGUCGGUGAUCUUGAU